rnacentral:rRNA from 1 species
UACAGGGGGUGCAAACGUUGCUCGGAAUUAUUGGGCGUAAAGCGCGCGUAGGCGGCUACCUAAGUCGGAUGUGAAAGCCCCUGGCUUAACUGGGGAAGUGCACCCGAAACUGAGUAGCUAGAGUGCGAAAGAGGGUCGCGGAAUUCCCGGUGUAGAGGUGAAAUUCGUAGAUAUCGGGGAGGAACACCGGUGGCGAAGGCGGCGACCUGGGUCGACACUGACGCUGAGGCGCGAAAGCGUGGGGAGCAAACAGG